rfam:Triticum urartu cultivar G1812 contig1136290, whole genome shotgun sequence.
UCGCAACUACCUCCGUUUGGAAUUACUUGUCUUGAUAUAGAUGUAUCUAGAACUAUAAUACAUCUAGAUACAUCCAUUUUUACGACAAGUAAUUCCGAACGGAGGGAGUAAAAG